rnacentral:lncRNA from 1 species
GGAGGUAAUAAUAAUUGCAUAAAUUCCCUGCUUGCUAAGUCAUUGCCAUAUGAAUGCAUGCAGGUGGUCAAGCAAACAUAUUCUCGAUGUUAUUUUGAAACAAUCGACAGCACACAUCACUACAUCACCAAUUAAACUGUACGUACCAUUGUUCAGAGAGUUUACUUCAUUUAUUUACAAGAACUCAUCUUUGCCAAUCAAUCAAUCCAUCCAUCCUGUGGCCAAAACUAAACCACAAAUUGUCCAAACUAACAUAGGACGAAGAGGAUGUUGCGUCCGCAAAUUGCAAGAACUCUACAGCUUCGCUUCUGAUUUCUGAAGAUAGAAAUUGAGCAGAGAAGCUGUCAUCUAUCUACAGAGGCAUUAAUUACACAGAGUUAACCGUAACUAUCACUCGAACUCCCAGCAUGCUCUUCGGUUGUCCAACUCCAUGGCCACCAUGACAUCUUGACUUGUGUCCUUCUCCAUCGCCUUCUCGGAGUCGGAGAAGACCGCCUUCGCCGAGGACACCGCAGGAUCAGCUUCUUGGACGCCGGCCGGUCGCAAGUUCUUGGACAUGGAGGGCAGCGGGCGCAUCGGCGGCGGCGGCGGCGGCAGGGGAGCACAAUGGUCAUCACGUCGGCGACGGCAGCAGCAGCAGCUCUGGCGGCGGCGGUCGUAGAAGCACGGGUGCGAGUGGCUGCCCCCGGCGAGCUCCUGCGCGCUGUGCACUCGCCGCAUGCGCGGCG